GGGCAACUACCACUCAGGGCCGGAAAGCUCUCCAAACUCGGUCAUUUAGAGGAAGUAAAAGUCGUAACAAGGUCUCCGUUGGUGAACCAGCGGAGGGAUCAUUACCGAGUUUACAACUCCCAAACCCAAUGUGAACGUUACCAAACUGUUGCCUCGGCGGGGUCACGCCCCGGGUGCGUAAAAGCCCCGGAACCAGGCGCCCGCCGGAGGAACCAACCAAACUCUUUCUGUAGUCCCCUCGCGGACGUAUUUCUUACAGCUCUGAGCAAAAAUUCAAAAUGAAUCAAAACUUUCAACAACGGAUCUCUUGGUUCUGGCAUCGAUGAAGAACGCAGCGAAAUGCGAUAAGUAAUGUGAAUUGCAGAAUUCAGUGAAUCAUCGAAUCUUUGAACGCACAUUGCGCCCGCCAGUAUUCUGGCGGGCAUGCCUGUCCGAGCGUCAUUUCAACCCUCGAACCCCUCCGGGGGGUCGGCGUUGGGGAUCGGGACCCCUCACCGGGUGCCGGCCCUGAAAUACAGUGGCGGUCUCGCCGCAGCCUCUCCUGCGCAGUAGUUUGCACAACUCGCACCGGGAGCGCGGSGCGUCCACGUCCGUAAAACACCCAACUUCUGAAAUGUUGACCUCGGAUCAGGUAGGAAUACCCGCUGAACUUAAGCAUAUCAAUAAGCGGAGGAAAAGAAACCAACAGGGAUUGCCCCAGUAACGGCGAGUGAAGCGGCAACAGCUCAAAUUUGAAAUCUGGCCCCUCCGGGUCCGAGUUGUAAUUUGUAGAGGAUGCUUUUGGUGAGGUGCCGCCCGAGUUCCCUGGAACGGGACGCCACAGAGGGUGAGAGCCCCGU
rnacentral:rRNA from 1 species